AUGUUGUAGGGGAAUGGCCCUGAAUUCACAUUAGUUGGCAAAGAGCUGUGUACAUGAUAUCACGCAUUUGCCUGACCUUGCAGUGUCCCUGGGGUUAAGCGCACUGAUAUCUUCUUUCCCAGAAUGAGCUUCAUGUGGGUGGCCAAGAGGACAAAAAAAGGGAGCAGUGCUGAAGAAGAUAAGAAUGCAAGGGGUUUGGAGAGAAUGCUGGAUGCCUGACAAGAUGGCAGUGAAAAGGGCAAAGGGAGAAGACAUCACAUGCAUGCAAGCAACAGUGCCUACAAUACUAAGAGACCGGUUGCAUCAGAAGGGGAGCUGGAAAGCCAUCUUUGCUAGCAGCUGGGAGUGAGAGAGGCAGCAGAACCAUAGCAGCUCAGCAGCCUGCCUGGAAGAAAACAAUAAAACAGCCUUUCAUCCACAGCAUCCAGGAUGGAUGUUUCCAAGCCAGAACUCUUCAGAAGCCAAAGAAUAGCAAUCUGAAGAAAUCGCCUCGCUUAAUAUGUACCCCUGAACUUCAAUAAAUGGUGUUGAACUUGC